AGUUUGCAGGCUGGCAAACAGGCUGGGAAAGCCCUUGAGAGACUCAGACAGCUCACGCCAUACUUCAGACUUCAUAGACCUGGGAGACAUCCAGCUUUCUCCCCCAGAGAAGCCGCAGCCUGGUCCCUUCCCCUGCCACACCAUCUGGUCCACAGAAACACCAGACUUCCGUGUCUCUCGGCCCUAUAAAAAGCAACAUUCCUUUUCCUGUCUCCUCUCCACCCGUCCCUCCCACCCACCCGUCUCUUCUCUCUCCUUGCCUUUGGUCUUUCUGUCUUAUCCCUUCUCUCCUGCCAAUCACUCCCUUUCUUCUCAACACUCCUCCUCCAUCUCCCCUCUGUGCACCUGCAGUGCUAUUCUUUGUCUAACCAUGAAAACAUCCCCGAAGGGCUUCUAGAACAUUCAUGUGUCUGGAGGAGUUAGAGUCCUCCAGCGCUGGGGUUGGCAAUUCUGCCUCCUUAGCGUCCAGGAUAGACGAAGCAUUUAUUCCGAGGCUUUGUGCGCCCUCUUGUGGUUUCUCCGUCAUGCCAACUCCCGCAGACAAUGGCUGCUUUGUCCAGAAGAGAUGAUUUAGAUGACAACCUGGCUUAAACCUCAGAAACCUUCAAUCUCUCCUUCUUCAAACAGUUUUUAUUAGACGGAUGGCUGUGAAAAAUGAUGUCCUUAUGCACAAAGCCACCGCGUUUCACUGCGAUGUUCACCUGGACAUCCUCCGGACACAAAACCAGGCAACAAAAUCAGGAUGCAACAAGAUGGAGGGGCAAAGCACAGAAGAGGAGUGGGCCCUGCCGUAGGAUGGUGAUGAGUCCAAUCUUGUGCAUGUCUCAUACACAGAAGACCAGCAGCUGCAAGCUCAAGAACAAAACGGCCACAUCAUGCACAGAAGGCAGUGCCCCAUGAUAGAUGCUACAUUUCUUUCUCAGACACCCACUCUGAGAAAACACUUGACUUUCACUGGCCAUGAGAACCAUCUGGAUUCUGGUGAUAACUGGAUCCUCCUGUUCCCAAGGCUACCCAUCAAUGUCUGUGUGCCAGAUGCUGGGGCUGCUCAGUCCUGCAAAGCUCUGUCGCCAGCCUUCUAGUAGAAGAAAUGUGCAAGCUGGAAGUGUCUCUUAGUCUCUUCACUGAUAGCCAAUGGAAUGUCCAUUUGAGCCAAUUUGGGGGAGAGUUUAUUAGCAGAAAUGAGGUAAACACUAAACAGCAAAAUGGAUCACCUUCCCGAGGAAGCUGCCACCACACUAUGAUGGAUCAGCCACAUGAAAGGACACUCAGUUAUUAUUCCCUCUCACUCCAUAAACAGGAUAUAUUCAAAGUCAGCAGAUCAGUAAGAUAUUCCAGACAAAGCAUCCGUAGCAAAGAGUUAAGAUCUAAAUGCAACAAUUCAAAAGCCAGGAGAGAGACCAAGAAGCACGUGAUAGCUUUAUUAUUCUAAAUUGCCCAUUUUAGCACAGAUUCUAAAAUUGAAAUGGAGCAAAUUCUGCUAC
rnacentral:lncRNA from 1 species